UUGAGGGGUUUUCUUAACAUUGCUAAAAUUGGAGCUAUGCAGAAAGAUGGGAAUGGGCCCUGGGCAAGAAUGGCACUGAAAUCUGUAAAAUGGUCCAUAUUUUA